rnacentral:rRNA from 1 species
AUACGGAGGGUGCGAGCGUUACUCGGAGUCACUGGGCGUAAAGCGUCCGUAGGCGGUCGGGUAAGUCGGGUGUGAAAGCCCCGGGCUCAACCUGGGAAGUGCACCCGAUACUGCUCGACUCGAGUGCGGGAGAGGAUGGCGGAAUUCCCGGUGUAGCGGUGAAAUGCGUAGAGAUCGGGAGGAACACCAGUGGCGAAGGCGGCCAUCUGGCCCGCAACUGACGCUGAGGGACGAAAGCGUGGGGAGCAAACAGGAUUAGAUACCCCGGGUAGUCC